rnacentral:rRNA from 1 species
GACGAACGCUGGCGGCGUGCUUAACACAUGCAAGUCGAACGGCAAGGCCAUGCUUUCGUGGGGUGCUCGAGUGGCGAACGGGUGCGUAACACGUGAGUAUCCUGCCCUUGACUUUGGGCUAACUUCAGGUAACUGGGGCUAAUCCCGGAUAGGAGCUCCUGCUGCAUGGCGGGGGUGGGAAAGUUUGGGCGGUUGGGGAUGGACUCGCGGCUUAUCAGUUAGUUGGUGGGGUAGUGGCUUACCAAGGCUUUGACGGGUAGCUGGCCUGCGAAGGUGACCGGCGACAUAGGGCCUAGGAUACGGCCCAGAGUCCUACGGGGGACAACAGUGGGAAGUAUGGCACAAUGGGCGGACGCCUGAGGCAGCAGCGCCGCGUGCGGGAUGACGUCCUUCGGGGUGUAAACCGCUGUCGGCUGUGACGCAGCGGGAGUGACGGUAACGGGUGAAGAAGCACCGGCUAACUACGUG